GUAUAAGAGACAGCAGUAGCCGCGGUAAUACGGAGGAUCCAAGCGUUAUCCGGAAUCAUUGGGUUUAAAGGGUCCGUAGGCGGUCUUGUAAGUCAGUGGUGAAAGCCCAUCGCUCAACGGUGGAACGGCCAUUGAUACUGCAGGACUUGAAUUAUUGGGAAGUAACUAGAAUAUGUAGUGUAGCGGUGAAAUGCUUAGAGAUUACAUGGAAUACCAAUUGCGAAGGCAGGUUACUACCAAUUGAUUGACGCUGAUGGACGAAAGCGUGGGUAGCGAACAGGAUUAGAUACCCGAGUAGUCCCUGUCUCUUAUAA
rnacentral:rRNA from 1 species